UACAGAGGUCCCAAGCGUUGUUCGGAUUCACUGGGCGUAAAGGGCGCGUAGGUGGUGAGGUAAGUCGGAUGUGAAAGCUCGGAGCUCAACUCCGAAAUGGCAUUGGAAACUACCUUGCUCGAGGGUUGGAGGGGGGACUGGAAUACUUGGUGUAGCAGUGAAAUGCGUAGAUAUCAAGUGGAACACCAGUGGCGAAGGCGAGUCCCUGGACAACUCCUGACACUGAGGCACGAAAGCUAGGGGAGCAAACAGG
rnacentral:rRNA from 1 species